rnacentral:rRNA from 1 species
UACGAAGGGGGCUAGCGUUGCUCGGAAUCACUGGGCGUAAAGCGCACGUAGGCGGAUUGCUAAGUCAGGGGUGAAAUCCUGGAGCUCAACUCCAGAACUGCCCUUGAUACUGGCGGUCUCGAGUCCGGGAGAGGUGAGUGGAACUGCGAGUGUAGAGGUGAAAUUCGUAGAUAUUCGCAAGAACACCAGUGGCGAAGGCGGCUCACUGGCCCGGUACUGACGCUGAGGUGUGAAAGCGUGGGGAGCAAACAGG